rnacentral:lncRNA from 1 species
CAUAAGGCAACUGGGUCAAUGGAUCACAAUGUUUUGGAAUUCUAGAACCUGGCACAACAGAGCUAGAAGGGCCUUCCCAGAUCAUUUGGUCUGGUCUGCUCAUUAGAUAACAUGGGAUACUGAGGCCUGAUCGGGAUAAAGCCAGGAUCCAGGAAGUGUUGUCAGCGUUUGAAAAGAAGGUGCACACAAAGAAUUCUGUCUUCAUCAACAUCAGUGACUGGGGCCAUUCAUCAGUUCUGACACCCCAAAAAAGGCAAGGAGGAAAGAAGAGAGGGGUGGAGGGGGGAAUUUUUUUUAAAAAGGAAACAAGGAAAACCAUCUGGAUCUAGGGCCAUAGUCCUCUGCCUGGCUGGGCUAUUUACAGAAGUUAAUUUGAUUUUCCCCUAGCAAUGAAAGAUAUAUAGGAUCCCUAUAGAUUGUGGAGUUCAACAAAUCAGAAAGAGAGGGAACAAAAUCCCGUAUUUCCAGGGACUAAACAGCCAAUCCUUUGCUGGGAUUUGGUGGCAUCUAGUGGUGGACUCAAGAGGUAUAAAACUCAUGAGAACUUUCUGGAAAAUUAACAGAGCAUACUUGCCUGAAGGGCACUGUGCUUGGAGAGCAGGACAAAAAGGCCAUCAUCAGAAAAGCUAA